rnacentral:rRNA from 1 species
GAAAGACCCCGUGAACCUUUACUAUAGCUUGACACUGAACAUUGAGCCUUGAUGUGUAGGAUAGGUGGGAGGCUUUGAAGUGUGGACGCCAGUCUGCAUGGAGCCGACCUUGAAAUACCACCCUUUAAUGUUUGAUGUUCUAACGUUGACCCGUAAUCCGGGUUGCGGACAGUGUCUGGUGGGUAGUUUGACUGGGGCGGUCUCCUCCUAAAGAGUAACGGAGGAGCACGAAGGUUGGCUAAUCCUGGUCGGACAUCAGGAGGUUAGUGCAAUGGCAUAAGCCAGCUUGACUGCGAGCGUGACGGCGCGAGCAGGUGCGAAAGCAGGUCAUAGUGAUCCGGUGGUUCUGAAUGGAAGGGCCAUCGCUCAACGGAUAAAAGGUACUCCGGGGAUAACAGGCUGAUACCGCCCAAGAGUUCAUAUCGACGGCGGUGUUUGGCACCUCGAUGUCGGCUCAUCACAUCCUGGGGCUGAAGUAGGUCCCAAGGGUAUGGCUGUUCGCCAUUUAAAGUGGUACGCGAGCUGGGUUUAGAACGUCGUGAGACAGUUCGGUCCCUAUCUGCCGUGGGCGCUGGAGAACUGAGGGGGGCUGCUCCUAGUACGAGAGGACCGGAGUGGACGCAUCACUGGUGUUCGGGUUGUCAUGCCAAUGGCACUGCCCGGUAGCUAAAUGCGGAAGAGAUAAGUGCUGAAAGCAUCUAAGCACGAAACUUGCC